rnacentral:lncRNA from 1 species
AUGCCCAGAUCUGAUGGUGAUCAGAUCUAAGAGAGAAAAAGUGAGAGAAGAAGAGAAGAAAAAGGGUUCUUCUUCUUUUCAUGGUAAUCUGGUUUAGAUCCCGUCAGAUCUGCGUAAAAGAGUUUGCGUAGCAAUCUCCUUCUUCAAGAUCUGGAAGAAGAGAUCUAGAUCCAAGGAUGAAGAGCGAGAUUUGCAAGGUGCUAGUACAUCGAUGAUCUUGAUGCUUUGAUCAGACAUCUCUAUGUGGAUACCAACAGAGGUC